UACGGGGGGAGCAAGCGUUGUUCGGAUUUACUGGGCGUAAAGGGCGCGUAGGCGGCCACCGCAAGUCAGUUGUGAAAUCUCUGGGCUUAACCCAGAAAGGUCAACUGAUACUGCGGGGCUAGAGUGCAGAAGGGGCAACUGGAAUUCUCGGUGUAGCGGUGAAAUGCGUAGAUAUCGAGAGGAACACCUGCGGCGAAGGCGGGUUGCUGGGCUGACACUGACGCUGAUGUGCGAAAGCUAGGGGAGCGAACAGG
rnacentral:rRNA from 1 species